CGGCCAGAUCACGUCAAACACCGGUCCCCGUACGAUCACUUAAGUUAAGCAACGUCGAGCCUGGUUUGAAUUUAGAUGUGUAACCGCUUGGGAAUACCAGGUGA